GCGGGUGUCGCCAAGUGGUUAAGGCAGAGGUUUGUGGUACCUCCAUCCGUGGGUUCGAGUCCCAUCAUCCGCCC
rnacentral:tRNA from 1 species